rnacentral:rRNA from 1 species
GAUGAACGCUGGCGGCGUGCCUAAUACAUGCCAGUCGAGCGAACAGACGAGGAGCUUGCUCCUCUGACGUUAGCGGCGGACGGGUGAGUAACACGUGGAUAACCUACCUAUAAGACUGGGAUAACUUCGGGAAACCGGAGCUAAUACCGGAUAAUAUAUUGAACCGCAUGGUUCAAUAGUGAAAGACGGUUUUGCUGUCACUUAUAGAUGGAUCCGCGCCGCAUUAGCUAGUUGAUAAGGUAACGGCUUACCAAGGCAACGAUGCGUAGCCGACCUGAGAGGGUGAUCGGCCACACUGGAACUGAGACACGGUCCAGACUCCUACGGGAGGCAGCAGUAGGGAAUCUUCCGCAAUGGGCGAAAGCUUGACGGAGCAACGCCGCGUGAGUGAUGAAGGUCUUCGGAUCGUAAAACUCUGUUAUUAGGGAAGAACAAAUGUGUAAGUAACUAUGCACGUCUUGACGGUACCUAAUCAGAAAGCCACGGCUAACUACGUG